rnacentral:rRNA from 1 species
GCUUGUCUCAAAGAUUAAGCCAUGCAUGUCUAAGUACAAGCCUCAGUAAGGUGAAACCGCGAAUGGCUCAUUAAAUCACACCUAAUCUACUGGAAAGUUACUAGUUACUUGGAUAACUGAGGUAAUUCUUGAGCUAAUACAUGCUGUUUUGCCUGACUCUGUGGUAAGGCUGUGCUUAUUAGUACCAGAACCAACCCAAGUUCUGCUUGGUUGCAUCCUGAUUCAUAAUAAACGAAUGGAUUGCAUGCUUUGGCUGGCAAUGUAGCAUCUAAGUUUCUGACCUAUCAGCUUCCGACGGUAAGGUAUUGGCUUACCGUGGCAAUGACGGGUAACGGAGAAUUAGGGUUUGAUUCCGGAGAGGGAGCCUGAGAAACGGCUACCACAUCUAAGGAAGGCAGCAGG